ensembl:lncRNA
AGAGGCAGGUGUUAGAUUACUCAGCUGUUCUAGUGGUCUGAGGCAGGUGUUAGAUUACUCAGCUGUUCUAGUGGUCUGAGACAGGUGGUAGAUUACUCAGCUGUUCUAGUGGUCUGAGGCAGGUGUUAGAUUACUCAGCUGUUCUAGUGGUCUGAGACAGGUGUUAGAUUACUCAGCUGUUCUAGUGGUCUGAGGCAGGUGUUAGAUUACUCAGCUGUUCUAGUGGUCUGAGGCAGGUGGUAGAUUACUCAGCUGUUCUAGUGGUCUGAGACAGGUGUUAUAUUACUCAGCUGUUCUAGUGGUCUGAGGCAGGUGUUAGAUUACUCAGCUGUUCUAGUGGUCUGAGGCAGGAGGUAGAUCAAUCAGCUGUUCUAGUAGUCUGAGGCAGGUGGUAGAUUACUCAGCUGUUCUCGUGGUCUGAGGCAGGAGGUAGAUUACUCAGCUGUUCGCGUGGUCUGAGGUGUUAGAUUACUCAGCUGUUCUAGUGGUCCGAGGCAGGAGGUGUUAGAUCACUCAGCUGUUCGAGUGGUCUGAGGCAGGAGGUGUUAGAUUACUCAGCUGUUCGCGUGGUCUGAGGCAGGUGGUAGAUUACUCAGCUGUUCUAGUAGUCUGAGACAGGUGUUAGAUUACUCAGCUGGUCUGAGGCAGGUGUUAGAUUACUCAGCUGUUCUAGUGGUCUGAGGCAGGUGUUAGAUUACUCAGCUGUUCUAGUGGUCUGAGGCAGGUGUUAGAUUACUCAGCUGUUCUAGUGGUCUGAGGCAGGUGUUAGAUUACUCAGCUGUUCUAGUGGUCUGAGACAGGUGUUAGAUUACUCAGCUGUUCUAGUGGUCUGAGGCAGGUGUUAGAUUACUCAGCUGUUCUAGUGUCUGAGGCAGGUGGUAGAUUACUCAGCUGUUCUAGGGGUCUGAGGCAGGAGGUGUUAGAUUACUCAGCUGUUCUAGUGGUCUGAGGCAGGAGGUAGAUCAAUCAGCUGUUCUAGUGGUCUGAGGCAGGUGGUAGAUUACUCAGCUGUUCUAGUGGUCUGAGGCAGGUGUUAGAUUACUCAGCUGUUCUAGUGGUCUGAGGCAGGUGGUAGAUUACUCAGCUGUUCUAGUGGUCUGAGGCAGGUGUUAGAUUACUCAGCUGUUCUAGUGGUCUGAGGCAGGUGUUAGAUUACUCAGCUGUUCUAGUGGUCUGAGGCAGGUGGUAGGUUACUCAGCUGUUCUAGUGGUCUGAGGCAGGUGGUAGAUUACUCAGCUGUUCUAGUGGUCUGAGACAGGUGUUAAAUUACAAGCGUUUUCAAUUGUAACGUUAAUAUUAUUACAUUGUGAUGUGUCGUGGAAUUAUCAGAAUUGGUUGGUAACAUUUGUAAGAUGUUUUAUAUCAAAUGUGUGUAGGUUAUUUCUCAUAAGAAUGUAUUUUGUUGUACUAUAGUGGUGGCCAUUGGCAGUUAUCUGUUCUAUGUCAGGACUAAGUUGCAUGGGCCGCAGAGAGGGGAGAGGUCAAAGUGUCAUCAUGUGUAAACAUGUCUUUUACUCCCUACCUUUCCCAGUGGGGAAAGGAAGGUUGCAGUGUCUGGAAUCAUUCUAUGCUCCCUCUUUGUUGACCUGUAGGGUCAGUCUCCUAUCUGUGUUUCCCUCUUAUGUUGUUUCUAUCUUAACCUUUAGCCUCACCCUCCUCUCCGUGAGUUUGUCCAAUAGUUUGUAUUUUGAGUGGGUUGUAUAUAAAUGACAAUUUGAUAUAUGCCUGUUGAUAUGGAGGAAUUGGUUUAUGGUUCUGGGGUUUGGGAAAGGAGACAAAGCUGAACGAUGAGUUAUGUCUAUGCUGUCUGACUAUGUGUGUCUUUGCUAUUAAAAGGAACUCAGUUGCAUUGUAAGGGGACUCUCAGAGAAUUCACUGGGGAGACACUGAAUUUAUCUGAGAGUCACAGGAUUGUGAUAGAGCUCGUAUAAUUAAAGAUGGACUUUUAUAACUAACUCUGACGUGUGUGUGUGGUUUGCUCCCAUGAUUUGGUAAAUAG